rnacentral:tRNA from 1 species
AAGCUUUUUAGUUUAAUUAAAAAUAUUUGCUUGUGGUGCAAGAGAUUUAAAUUGCUU